rnacentral:rRNA from 1 species
GAUGAACGCUGGCGGCGUGCCUAAUACAUGCAAGUCGAGCGAACGGACGAGAAGCUUGCUUCUCUGAUGUUAGCGGCGGACGGGUGAGUAACACGUGGAUAACCUACCUAUAAGACUGGGAUAACUUCGGGAAACCGUAGCUAAUACCGGAUAAUAUUUUGAACCGCAUGGUUCAAAAGUGAAAGACGGUCUUGCUGUCACUUAUAGAUGGAUCCGCGCUGCAUUAGCUAGUUGGUAAGGUAACGGCUUACCAAGGCAACGAUGCAUAGCCGACCUGAGAGGGUGGUCGGCCACACUGGAACUGAGACACGGUCCCGACUCCUACGGGAGGCAGCAGUAGGGAAUCUUCCGCAAUGGGCGAAUGCCUGACGGAGCAACGCCGCGUGAGUGAUGAAGGUCUUCGGAUCGUAAAACUCUGUUAUUAGGGAAGAACAUAUGUGUAAGUAACUGUGCACAUCUUGACGGUACCUAAUCAGAAAGCCACGGCUAACUACGUG